CCUACGGGAGGCAGCAGUAGGGAAUUUUCGGCAAUGGGGGGAACCCUGACCGAGCAACGCCGCGUGAACGAAGAAGUUAUUCGUAAUGUAAAGUUCUUUUAACAGGGAAGAAAGAAAAAUUUGACGGUACCUGAAGAAUAAGCUCCGGCUAACUACGUGCCAGCAGCCGCGGAAAUACGUAGGGCGCGAGGGUUAUCCGGAGUUAUUGGGCGAAAAGGGUGCGUAGAGGGCAUAGAAGGUCUUGUGUAAAAAUGCUGGGCUAAACCCAGUAGGGCAAAAGAUACUGCAAAGCUAGAGUAUGACAGAGGCAAGUGGAACUACAUGUGUAGCGGUAAAAUGCGUAAAUAUAUGUAAGAACACCAGUGGCGAAGGCGGCUUGCUGGGUCGAUACUGACAUUGAGGCACGAAAGCGUGGGGAGCAAACAGGAUUAGAUACCCUGGUAGUC
rnacentral:rRNA from 1 species